ensembl:snRNA U4 U4 spliceosomal RNA
AGCUUUGUGCAGUGGCAGUAUCGUAGCCAAUGAGGUUUAUCCGAGGCGCGAUUAUUGCUAAUUGAAACUAAAUGCUGUGGAGUACAGAAUUAACUUAGAAGUUAGUUGGCUAA